GAGUCUGUACAAAAGGAGCCCAGCUCCCAGAAAUGAAUCAGAUCAGUUUUUACAAAAGAAAUCAAAUACAAAAAUAUUAAGCUCUGCUCUUCUCUCUUCCUUCCUUCCCUCGAGUUCUUCAGCUUCAGGAAUAUGCCAUUUAACUCAAGCUAUAAAUGGAGAUGUUGAUGAUAUGCUUAAAGGAGUGGCAGACAAAACUUUUAUUGAAGAAGUAAAGCGUGUUCUCGAGAUGGUACUUCAAAACUUGCUAGACGCGCAUCAUAGAGAAGGGAGGUUCUCCAUACAAAUGUUCUCACCCCUCCAGUGGUGAAGGAGUCAAUGCUAGCUGAUCUGAAAGCAGUUGUUCAGGGUGGAUACCCGCAUGUUUAACUAAAUAGGCUGAGCGCUGUAGGAUUUCUGUAGGACAUCCGGAAGUAUUGACAAGUGAUCCUGAUGUAAUUGCAGCAUUGAGUAUCACAGGAAACUUUGGGUUCCAGCCAUGUUCUCAUGGUGAUUUCCUAGGCGCAAUUCUUGGUACAGGGAUUGAUGACCAGGGAGAAGCUUGGAGAUCUGCUUGAUUCGGUACUGUCUUUCCACUUAUACUGAACUCUCGCUCAAUUUUAUAGUUUAUUGGUCUUAUGCAACUUCUUACUUAGACGGGUUCUUUCGUUUUCUUCAUGAUUAGGUAUCCACUCAUCCAUCAAGAAUAAAACACUCACACUUUUUAAGUGUUUGAUCCUUACCGUAUGAAAAGAUCUACAAAUUCAAGAUUUGUUUUUCACUAUGUUACUUUCUAAUACCAAACUCCCAAUGUAAUUGAACAUGAUGUGCAUCACUGAAAUUUUUUCGUAGCCUAAAGAAUCUUGGAAACUGAGAACACGGUACAAAGUUUUUUCUUAUCUGUGCAGUGAUGGUGAUGUGCGUGUGAACUGGACCCCUGUUACUGAAAAUGGACCUAGAUCUUGGAAACUACUUUUUUUUUUUUUAAUUUUUUUUAUCAAAUUACUAUAAACACCAUACAUGAGACACAUUGGUACUUCUUGAACAGUUCCUGAUACCUUUCCAGUAUGUUUGUAAGUAGAACAAUUGGAUCUGGAAUCGUAUUCCAUUCUUAUAUGUUAGAGCAGUAUAGAACUGUAUUGUUAAGUUGCAAGCACUUAUUACACGUUUGUUGAAGAGUUUGAGUAUUUAUAUUCAUGUUUAACUCUUAAUUGGUCUUUAGCAUGGCAUUUCUGAUGCUCAAAUUUACACGUUUGUUGAAGAGUUGAGCUCAUUCUUCAUCUGUAUGUUUUCUAAACGGGGAACAAUCUAACAUCACCGUUCAUGGGAUCUGAAUGAAUCUUGAGGUCACAUUUUUGUAGCCCAAAAGCCGGAGGUUUUCUUCUAAAAAGCAAGCAUACGUUGCUUCGAAGUUUAACUUGCUUUUGAGCGUGAAAAGAAGGCAAAGAAGUCGUCAUCUGCAACAGAGUCCAAGUCCGAGGAACCGAUAGAACCUGUUGCUGAGGUUGCAAAACCAGAAAAGGUAAUUGAAAAGGUUGAAGCUCCUGUCCCGGCAAAGGCGAAGGCACAAAAGGAUAAUAUUCUGAGGAACAGAGGUCAAGCUAGAGGUUCAGAAGCACUACUGAAAGACAUCCUGAAGAGGAAAAAGUCGAGUGCUAACUGUCGGCUAUGAGCUGCUCCUGCUGCUGAGUAGUUGUGUUGUUUCUAGUACUUGGUUACUACUAUCUUCAUUGAGGAAGGUAAGCUGGAACUGACUUAGGGUAGAGAAGGAUCGAGAACUACAGUUUUGUGCUUGACAGACGUGCGAUAACGACUAGUCUGUUUAGUUAAACUAAGUUAUUUCUGUUCUUUA